GACAGCGCGUUGACGUCACGCACCAGGUACUUUCCCCGCGGCCGCGGCGGCGUGGGGGCGGGGCGGGACAGGCGUGGAGCGCGCAUGCGCGGCAGCGGCUGCGCGCUGCCCGGAUCGUGCGGGGCCUGAGCCUCUCCGCCGGCGCAGGCUCCCUCGCGACAGCUCGCUCCCGCCGCCAUGUCGGCUGCCAUCGAACGGGAGUUUGAGGAGUUAGACGCUCAGAAUCGCUGGCAGCAGCUGUACCUGGAAAUUCGCAGUGAGUCCCAUGACUAUCCUCAUAGAGUGGCCAAGUUCCCUGAAAACAGAAAUCGAAACAGAUACAGAGAUGUGAGCCCAUAUGAUCACAGUCGUGUUAAACUGCAGAAUGCUGAAAAUGAUUAUAUCAAUGCCAGCUUAGUUGACAUAGAGGAGGCACAGAGGAGCUACAUCUUAACCCAGGGUCCGCUUCCUAAUACAGGUUGUCAUUUCUGGCUCAUGGUUUGGCAGCAAAAGACCAAAGCAGUUGUCAUGCUAAACCGAAUUGUGGAGAAAGAAUCAGUUAAAUGUGCACAGUACUGGCCUACAAAAGAUGACCGGGAGAUGCUGUUUAAGGAAACUGGCUUCAGUGUGAAGUUCCUGUCAGAGGACGUGAAGUCCUAUUACACGGUCCAUCUGUUGCAGUUAGGAAACACCAGGACUGGUGAGACCAGAACAAUAUCUCACUUUCAUUAUACUACCUGGCCAGAUUUUGGAGUCCCUGAAUCACCAGCUUCGUUUCUCAAUUUCUUAUUCAAAGUGCGGGAAUCUGGCUCCUUGAACCCUGAGCACGGGCCUGCGGUGAUCCACUGCAGUGCCGGCAUCGGGCGGUCGGGCACCUUUUCUCUGGUGGACAGCUGCCUUGUUCUGAUAGAAAAAGGAGACAAUAUUAACAUUAAACAACUGUUAUUGAAUAUGAGAAAAUACCGAAUGGGACUGAUUCAGACGCCAGAUCAGCUCAGAUUUUCCUACAUGACUAUAAUAGAAGGAGCAAAGUUUAUAAAGGGAGACUCAAGUAUACAGAAACGUUGGAAAGAACUUUCUAAGGAAGACGUAUGUCCUGUUUUUGAUCAUUCGCCAACCAAAAUAAUGACUGAAAAAUACAAUGGGAACAGGAUAGGCCUAGAAGAGGAAAAACUGACAGGAGACAGAUACUCAGGUCUGUCCUCUAAAACGCAGGAAGCUCUGGAGGAGAGCAGCGAGAGUGCUCUGCGCAAGCGCCUCCGGGAGGACAGGAAGGCCAGCACUGCCCAGAAGGUGCAGCAGAUGAAGCAGAGGCUGAGCGAGACCGAGCGCAAGAGGAAAAGUCUUCCCAAUUUUAAAAAGAAAAACAAACAAAGAAACAAAAAUUUUCUCUAAAAAUAUCUUUGAAGGAAGGUUCUCCUUACUGGCGUAGUCAGGCAUCUAACAAGAAUGUUCCCUUGGUGUCUGGACAUUUCUGUGUUGGUGCUGGAAACCUGACACCAAAGAGCCAGCACUCAGGAAGAAGCCAACUCGCAGUGUUGGGGGUUUUGAUGGAACGUUUUGGAUAAAAGUGCCAAGAUUGACAGACACCUAAAUAUUCAUGCCUUGAGAAUAUUCUGCAGCUAUAAAUUUUGAACCAUUGAUGUGCAAAACAAGACCUGAAGCCCGCUCCGGAAUCUCAGUGAGGCUUGAUAAGCCUGUAGAUUGCCUCACAUGUGUCUGUUUACAAAGUAAACCUUACAUCCAGGGAGCGAAGAGUGCCACCAGCGGAAGACUGUGCAGAAGCCUCUAAUUCAGUGCAUUGUUAAGUUUUCUAACGCGCGUGUGAAAUGUAGAAAGAUGUAAAAGAAAUAAAUUAGGAGAGACUACUUUGUAUUGUACUGCCAUUCCAACUGUAUUUUUAUACCUUUUGGCAGCAUUAAAUAUUUUUAUUAAAUAGA